CGUCAGAUAGCUCAGUGGUCUGGAGCAGUCGCCCGGCAAGCGAAAGACCCGGGUUCGAUUCCCGGUCUAGCGA
rnacentral:tRNA from 1 species